rnacentral:rRNA from 1 species
UACGUAGGGUGCAAGCGUUGUCCGGAAUUAUUGGGCGUAAAGAGCUCGUAGGCGGUCUGUUGCGUCGGCUGUGAAAACCCGGGGCUCAACCCCGGGCCUGCAGCCGAUACGGGCAGACUAGAGUUCGGCAGGGAGACUGGAAUUCCUGGUGUAGCGGUGAAAUGCGCAGAUAUCAGGAGGAACACCGGUGGCGAAGGCGGGUCUCUGGGCCGAUACUGACGCUGAGGAGCGAAAGCCAGGGGAGCGAACGGG